rnacentral:rRNA from 1 species
UAACGCGUGAGCAACCUGCCUUUAUCAGGGGGAUAACGCAUCNANAGAUGUGCUAAUACCGCGUAAGACCACAGCUUCACAUGGAGCGGGGGUCAAAGGAGCAAUCCGGAUAAAGAUGGGCUCGCGUCCGAUUAGCUAGUUGGUGAGAUAACANCCCACCAAGGNGACGAUCGGNAGCCGACCUGAGAGGGNGAUCGGCCACAUUGNAACUGAGAGACGGUCCANACUCCUACGGGAGGCNGCAGNGGGGAAUAUUGGGCAAUGGGCGAAAGCCUGACCCANCAACGCCGCGNGAGGGAAGAANGGUUUCGGCUCGNAAACCUCUGUCCUAUGGNACGAAGGAAGUGACGGNACCAUAGGAGGAAGCCCCGGCUAACUACGUGCCAGCANCCGCGGUNAUACGUAGGGGGCGAGCGUUGUCCGGAAUGAUUGGGCGUAAAGGGCGCGUANGCGGCCUGCUAAGUCUGGAGUGAAAGUCCUGCUUUCAAGGUGGGAAUUGCUUUGNAUACUGGUGGGCUGGAGUGCAGGAGAGGAAAGCGGAAUUACCGGUGUAGCGGUGAAAUGCGUAGAGAUCGGUAGGAACACCAGUGGCGAANGCGGCUUUCUGGACUGAAACUGACGCUGAGGCGCGAAAGCGUGNGGAGCAAACAGGAUUAGAUACCCUGGUAGUCCACGCGGUAACGAUGAAUGCUAGGUG